rnacentral:rRNA from 1 species
UGCGUGAAGUCGGAAUCGCUAGUAAUCGCGGAUCAGCAUGCCGCGGUGAAUACGUUCCCGGGCCUUGUACACACCGCCCGUCACACCAUGAGAGUCGGGAACACCCGAAGUCCGUAGCCUAACCAAUCUGGAGGGCGCGGCCGAAGGUGGGUUCGAUAAUUGGGGUGAAGUCGUAACAAGGUAAC